rnacentral:lncRNA from 14 species
UUUCAGCCCUUUUGACUGCUUCCGUGCAAGAUUCCAUCCUUUGUUCCUGGUACUGCUUGCACUUGUAAAUGCUUGAUUAGCAGUUCAUCAGGUGAGGUCUUCCCCUCACCAGCUCCAGAAGGAGGGAGGCAAGAUGUGACAAAGAGACAUGUCUGAGACCUAGGCAGAUGCCUCAGCACAGCCUUUCCUUUGGUGUACAGUGUCUCCUGUGGAUUGUUUUGAAGACUGAGGAAAAGUUACUUGCAGUCGCCAAGAAGGAAGUAGGGAAAGCCCUGAAAGAAGCCUUUGAUAUUGGGAAACCCCCUUGUGC